UUCUGAUAUUCAGCCUACUCUUGGUUCUUUGGAUGUUAUGGAUCUGGGUGUUCAUCUCUUCCCCUGGAGACAUGGGAAGUCAUCUGUCCUGAAGUCAGUGUUUGUGGGGGUGUGGAGGCUGGGCUCUCCUGGUCCGCCAUCUUGCUGCCAGCACUCCAGGCAUCUCCCCCUUUGCUGCUUUAGACAUGGUUUCCUUUGGUUCUUUGAGCAUACUUAAAAGAGCUGAUUUAAAGAUUUUGUCUGGAGAAGACAGUGUAAAGAUAGAGCUGAGAGAUUUGAGGAUGCUGACAUUGAAGCCUGGAGGGAUGUGUCCACAAGCCAAGGAAUGCCUACAGCCACCAGAACCUGAAAGAGGCAAGGGAUGGAUUCUUUCCUAGAGCCACUGGAGGAGGCACUGCACUGACUGUACCUUGAUUUCAGCCCAGUGAGACUGAUUUCAUACUUUUGUCCUCCAGAACUGUAAGAUGAUACAUUUCUGUUGUUUUAAGGCACUAAACGUGUAGUAAUUUGUUACAGAGCCCUAAGAAACAUACAGGAGAUGUUUGAUCAUUUUUAUGGUUUGGACAAUGUCCUUGUUUUUGUCCAAGUUCAUGGGUUAUGGGUUGAAUUGUCUACUCCUCAAGUUCAUAUGUUAAAGUUCUAACCCCCAGUACUGUAGAAUAUGACCUUAUUUAGAAAUGGCCAGUAGUGUGGGCCCCUAAACCAAUAUGACUUGUGUCCUUACAAAAAAGGGAUACGUAGACAGAGAUGCACUACAGGGGGAGCACCAUGUGGAAAUCGGAGUUCUGUUGCCAUAAGCCCAGGAACCACCAGAAGUUAGGAGAGAGGCCCGGAACCGCUCCUUCCCUUGCACCUUCAGAGAAAGCGUGGUCUCGCAGACACCUUGAUCACAGGCUUCCAGUCUCCAGAACUGCCAGACCUUACGUGUUAUCUAAUCCGUGUAGUUUGUGGUACUUUGUUACGGCUUCCUGGCCAAUGAGUACAGUUCAGAGAUGAUUACAGAGUGGUCUUGCUUUUGUCUUGCCUGUGACCUUGUCUGACGUUGACAUUGUAUGAAAUUGUUUAUGUUCGACAGGAAAACUCCAGCGCCUAGCUGUGAGUGCUGGGCCAGCUCUCCCAAAUGUCAGGGACCGCUUUUCUCUUUCUUAUCACAGAAUCUUUACUCAUCUGAUAAAUGUUCACUUUAUGUUGUCUUUAAGCAUUCUAACUAAUUCUUUCUAAAAAUAUUUAAACCUUU